AACGAACGCUGGCGGCAUGCCUAACACAUGCAAGUCGAACGAGCCCUUCGGGUCUAGUGUCGCACGGGUGCUUACCGCGUGGGAACCUGCCCUUAGGUUCGGAAUAACUCACAGAAAGGGGUGCUAUUACCGGAACAUCUCUUCGGACCAAAGCUUUACGGCCUUUGGAUGGGCCCGCGUUGGAUUAGCUAGUUGGUAGGGUAAAGGCCUACCAAGGCGACGAUCCAUAGCUGGUCUGAGAGGAUGAACAGCCACACUGGGACUGAGACACGGCCCAGACUCCUACGGGAGGCAGCAGUGGGGAAUAUUGCACAAUGGGCGAAAGCCUGAUGCAGCAAUGCCGCGUGGGUGAUGAAGGUCUUAGGGUUGUAAAGCUCUGUUGUCGGGGAAGAUAAUGACAGUACCGAAAGAGUAAGCGACGGCUAACUCCGUG
rnacentral:rRNA from 1 species